rnacentral:rRNA from 1 species
UGCUUAACACAUGCAAGUCGAGCGAAUGAAGUUUCCUUCGGGAAACGGAUUAGCGGCGGACGGGUGAGUAACACGUGGGUAACCUGCCUCAUAGAGUGGAAUAGCCUUCCGAAAGGAAGAUUAAUACCGCAUAACGUUGAAAGAUGGCAUCAUCAUUCAACCCAAGGAGCAAUCCGCUAUGAGAUGGACCCGCGGCGCAUUAGCUAGUUGGUGGGGUAACGGCCUACCAAGGCGACGAUGCGUAGCCGACCUGAGAGGGUGAUCGGCCACAUUGGGACUGAGACACGGCCCAGACUCCUACGGGAGGCAGCAGUGGGGAAUAUUGCACAAUGGGGGAAACCCUGAUGCAGCAACGCCGCGUGAGUGAUGAAGGUUUUCGGAUCGUAAAGCUCUGUCUUUGGGGAAGAUAAUGACGGUACCCAAGGAGGAAGCCACGGCUAACUACGUGCCAGCAGCCGCGGUAAUACGUAGGUGGCGAGCGUUAUCCGGAUUUACUGGGCGUAAAGGGAGCGUAGGCGGAUGAUUAAGUGGGAUGUGACAUACCCGGGCUCAACUUGGGUGCUGCAUUCCAAACUGGUUAUCUAGAGUGCAGGAGAGGAGAGUGGAAUUCCUAGUGUAGCGGUGAAAUGCGUAGAGAUUAGGAAGAACAGCCAGUGGCGAAGGCGACU